rnacentral:rRNA from 1 species
GAUGAACGCUGGCGGCGUGCCUAAUACAUGCAAGUCGAGCGAACAGACGAGGAGCUUGCUCCUCUGACGUUAGCGGCGGACGGGUGAGUAACACGUGGAUAACCUACCUAUAAGACUGGGAUAACUUCGGGAAACCGGAGCUAAUACCGGAUAAUAUAUUGAACCGCAUGGUUCAAUAGUGAAAGACGGUUUUGCUGUCACUUAUAGAUGGAUCCGCGCCGCAUUAGCUAGUUGGUAAGGUAACGGCUUACCAAGGCAACGAUGCGUAGCCGACCUGAGAGGGUGAUCGGCCACACUGGAACUGAGACACGGUCCAGAAUCCUACGGGAGGCAGCAGUAGGGAAUCUGCCGCAAUGGGCGAAAGCCUGACGGAGCAACGCCGCGUGAGUGAUGAAGGUCUGCGGAUCGUAAAACUCUGUUAUUAGGGAAGAACAAAUGUGUAAGUAACGAUGCACGUCUUGACGGUACCUAAUCAGAAAGCCACGGCUAACUACGU